rnacentral:rRNA from 1 species
CCCUUAGAUGUUCUGGGCCGCACGCGCGCUAUACUGAUUCAUGCAACAAGUUUUGUCCUUGGCUGAUAGGCCUGGGUAAUCUUUGAACGUGAAUCGUGAUGGGGAUAGAUGAUUGCAAUUAUUCAUCUUCAACGAGGAAUUCCUAGUAAACGCAAGUCAUCAGCUUGCAUUGAUUACGUCCCUGCCCUUUGUACACACCGCCCGUCGCACCUACCGAUUGAAUGGUCCGGUGAAAUCUUCGGAUCUGAGAGAUGUCUGAUUAAUUUCGGACGCCUUUUGGAAAAGUUGUUUAAACCUUACCAUUUAGAGGAAGGUGAAGUCGUAACA